UAUUUUGGGUUGGAUCGAGCUUGGACAAGCAUAAAGUAUGUUAAUAUCAUGUUUAGGUCCAACCCGACUCG
rnacentral:pre_miRNA from 1 species